rnacentral:rRNA from 1 species
UACGUAGGGGGCGAGCGUUGUCCGGAUUUAUUGGGCGUAAAGAGCUCGUAGGCGGCUUGUUGCGUCGACCGUGAAAACCCGGGGCUCAACUUCGGGCUUGCGGUUGAUACGGGCGGGCUGGAGUUCGGUAGGGGAGACUGGAAUUCCUGGUGUAGCGGUGAAAUGCGCAGAUAUCAGGAGGAACACCGGUGGCGAAGGCGGGUCUCUGGGCCGAUACUGACGCUGAGGAGCGAAAGCGUGGGGAGCGAACAGG